GAUGAAGAACUCAGCAAAAUGCGAUAAGUAAUGUGAAUUGCAGAAUUCAGUGAAUCAUCGAAUCUUUGAACGCACAUUGCGCCCGCCAGUAUUCUGGCGGGCAUGCCUGUUCGAGCGUCAUUUCAACCCUCAAGCACAGCUUGGUGUUGGGACUCGCGUUAAUUCGCGUUCCCCAAAUUGAUUGGCGGUCACGUCGAGCUUCCAUAGCGUAGUAGUAAAACCCUCGUUACUGGUAAUCGUCGCGGCCACGCCGUUAAACCCCAACUUCUGAAUGUUGACCUCGGAUCAGGUAGGAAUACCCGCUGAACUUAAGCAUAUCAAUAAGCGGAGGA
rnacentral:misc_RNA from 1 species